rnacentral:rRNA from 1 species
UACGAAGGGGGCUAGCGUUGCUCGGAAUCACUGGGCGUAAAGGGCGCGUAGGCGGCCAUUCAAGUCAGGGGUGAAAGCCUGUGGCUCAACCACAGAAUUGCCUUUGAUACUGCUUGGCUAGAGACCGGAAGAGGUAAGUGGAACUGCGAGUGUAGAGGUGAAAUUCGUAGAUAUUCGCAAGAACACCAGUGGCGAAGGCGGCUUACUGGUCCGGUUCUGACGCUGAGGCGCGAAAGCGUGGGGAGCAAACAGG